UGGCAAUGAGGAUGAAACUUGAUAUAUGAAAUAUGCUGAUUUUUCUAUACGCUAUUCUGAGCCAUUG